rnacentral:rRNA from 1 species
UACAGAGGCCCCGAGCGUUAGGCGGAAUCACUGGGCUUAAAGCGUGUGUAGGCGGAGUGCUAAGUACCUUGUGAAAUCCCACGGCUCAACCGUGGAACUGCUUGGUAUACUGGUUCUCUUGAGCCACCUAGGGGCAACCGGAACAAACGGUGGAGCGGUGAAAUGCGUAGAUAUCGUUUGGAACGCCAAUGGUGAAAACAGGUUGCUGGGGGUGUGCUGACGCUGAGACACGAAAGCCAGGGGAGCAAACGGG